rnacentral:misc_RNA from 1 species
GCAUAAUAUUCAAUUUGAGAAGAAAAGGCUAGUGUAGAAGUAUGAUCUAAUUAGUUGGAACAUAACAUCGUUUUUAGUCCUUCUUUCUAUCCGUAAAGCUCAUAAGCUUACUGAUUACAAGGCUGAUGCAACUGACAGAGGUAAGUGUACAGUGAAAUAAAGGAAGCUAUUAAAGAAUUAGCAUUGGUGGGGGACUAGAAGGA